rnacentral:rRNA from 1 species
UACGUAGGUGACAAGCGUUGUCCGGAUUUACUGGGCGUAAAGAGCGCGCAGGCGGUCGAUCAAGUCGAGUGUGAAAGCCCCCGGCUCAACUGGGGAGGGUCAUUCGAUACUGAUGAUCUUGAGUAUGAUUGAGGUGGGCGGAAUGUGUCAUGUAGCGGUGAAAUGCUUAGAUAUGACACAGAACACCGAUUGCGAAGGCAGCUCACUAAGUCAUAACUGACGCUGAUGCACGAAAGCGUGGGGAGCAAACAGG